rnacentral:rRNA from 1 species
CCCAGAGUUUUGGAUCCUGGCUCAGGAUGAACGCUAGCGGCAGGCCUAACACAUGCAAGUCGAGGGGUAGGGUGCUUCGGCACUUGAGACCGGCGCACGGGUGCGUAACACGUGUACAAUCUACCUUUUGCUAAGGGAUAGCCCGAAGAAAUUUGGAUUAAUACCUUAUAGUAUUGUUUGGUGGCAUCACUGAAUAAUUAAAGCUCUGGUGGCAAAAGAUGAGUACGCGUCCCAUUAGCUAGUUGGUGUGGUAACGGCAUACCAAGGCUACGAUGGGUAGGGGUCCUGAGAGGGAGGUCCCCCACACUGGUACUGAGACACGGACCAGACUCCUACGGGAGGCAGCAGUGAGGAAUAUUGGACAAUGGUCGGAAGACUGAUCCAGCCAUGCCGCGUGCAGGAUGACGGCCUUAUGGGUUGUAAACUGCUUUUAUACAGGAAGAAUAAGGUCUACGAGUAGAUUGAUGACGGUACUGUAUGAAUAAGCAUCGGCUAACUCCGUGCCAGCAGCCGCGGUAAUACGGAGGAUGCGAGCGUUAUCCGGAAUCAUUGGGUUUAAAGGGUCCGUAGGCGGGCUUAUAAGUCAGAGGUGAAAGCACUGAGCUCAACUGAGUAACUGCCUUUGAAACUGUAGGUCUUGAAUGUUUGUGAAGUAGCUGGAAUGUGUAGUGUAGCGGUGAAAUGCAUAGAUAUUACACAGAACACCGAUUGCGAAGGCAUGUUACUAACAAAUUAUUGACGCUGAUGGACGAAAGCGUGGGGAGCGAACAGGAUUAGAUACCCUGGUAGUCCACGCUGUAAACGAUGGAUACUAGCUGUUUGGGAGUAAUUUUGAGUGGCUAAGCGAAAGUGAUAAGUAUCCCACCUGGGGAGUACGCACGCAAGUGUGAAACUCAAAGGAAUUGACGGGGGCCCGCACAAGCGGUGGAGCAUGUGGUUUAUUUCGAUGAUACGCGAGGAACCUUACCAAGGUUUAAAUGGGAAACGACGUACCUAGAGAUAGGUAUUUCUUCGGACGUUUUUCAAGGUGCUGCAUGGUUGUCGUCAGCUCGUGCCGUGAGUUGUCAGGUAAAUUCCUAUAACGAGCCGCACCCCAUUUUUUU